rnacentral:rRNA from 1 species
UGGGGAAUAUUGGACAAUGGGCGCAAGCCUGAUCCAGCCACGCCGCGUGAGUGAUGAAGGCCUUCGGGUCGUAAAGCUCUUUCGGCAGGAACGAAACGGCGAGCUCUAACAUAGCUUGCUAAUGACGGUACCUGAAGAAGAAGCACCGGCUAACUACGUGCCAGCAGCCGCGGUAAUACGUAGGGUGCGAGCGUUAAUCGGAAUUACUGGGCGUAAAGCGUGCGCAGGCGGUUGUGUAAGACAGGUGUGAAAUCCCCGGGCUUAACCUGGGACCUGCAUUUGUGACUGCAUAGCUAGAGUACGGCAGAGGGGGAUGGAAUUCCGCGUGUAGCAGUGAAAUGCGUAGAUAUGCGGAGGAACACCGAUGGCGAAGGCAAUCCCCUGGACCUGUACUGACGCUCAUGCGCGAAAGCGUGGGGAGCAAACA